CUCCUACGGGAGGCAGCAGUAGGGAAUCUUCCGCAAUGGACGAAAGUCUGACGGAGCAACGCCGCGUGAACGAUGAAGGCCUUCGGGUCGUAAAGUUCUGUUGUUAGGGAAGAACAAGUAUCAGAGUAACUGCUGGUACCUUGACGGUACCUAACCAGAAAGCCACGGCUAACUACGUGCCAGCAGCCGCGGUAAUACAUAGGUGGCAAGCGUUGUCCGGAAUUAUUGGGCGUAAAGCGCGCGCAGGUGGUUUCUUAAGUCUGAUGUGAAAGCCCACGGCUCAACCGUGGAGGGUCAUUGGAAACUGGGGAACUUGAGUGCAGAAGAGGAAAGUGGAAUUCCAAGUGUAGCGGUGAAAUGCGUAGAGAUUUGGAGGAACACCAGUGGCGAAGGCGACUUUCUGGUCUGUAACUGACACUGAGGCGCGAAAGCGUGGGGAGCGAACAGGAUUAGAUACCCUGGUAGUCCACGCCGUAAACGAUGAGUGCUAAGUGUUAGAGGGUUUCCGCCCUUUAGUGCUGCAGCUAACGCAUUAAGCACUCCGCCUGGGGAGUACGGUCGCAAGACUGAAACUCAAAGGAAUUGACGGGGGCCCGCACAAGCGGUGGAGCAUGUGGUUUAAUUCGAAGCAACGCGAAGAACCUUACCAGGUCUUGACAUCCCACUGACCGGUAUAGAGAUAUACCUUUCCCUUCGGGGACAGUGGUGACAGGUGGUGCAUGGUUGUCGUCAGCUCGUGUCGUGAGAUGUUGGGUUAAGUCCCGCAACGAGCGCAACCCUUGAUCUUAGUUGCCAGCAUUUAGUUGGGCACUCUAAGGUGACUGCCGGUGACAAACCGGAGGAAGGUGGGGAUGACGUCAAAUCAUCAUGCCCCUUAUGACCUGGGCUACACACGUGCUACAAUGGAUGGUACAAAGGGCUGCGAGACUGCGAAGUCAAGCCAAUCCCAUAAAACCAUUCUCAGUUCGGAUUGCAGGCUGCAACUCGCCUGCAUGAAGCUGGAAUCGCUAGUAAUCGUGGAUCAGCAUGCCACGGUGAAUACGUUCCCGGGCCUUGUACACACCGCCCGU
rnacentral:rRNA from 1 species